GCAGUGCAGAUGCACUCUAAGUCUACUUCCACAGUCUUCACUUCAUGCAUCUGAGGAAGUAAACUUGGACUACAAAUGCAUACG
ensembl:miRNA aca-mir-5426 aca-mir-5426